AAAUUGAAGAGUUUGAUCAUGGCUCAGAUUGAACGCUGGCGGCAGGCCUAACACAUGCAAGUCGAACGGUAACAGGAAACAGCUUGCUGUUUCGCUGACGAGUGGCGGACGGGUGAGUAAUGUCUGGGAAACUGCCUGAUGGAGGGGGAUAACUACUGGAAACGGUAGCUAAUACCGCAUAACGUCGCAAGACCAAAGAGGGGGACCUUCGGGCCUCUUGCCAUCGGAUGUGCCCAGAUGGGAUUAGCUUGUUGGUGGGGUAACGGCUCACCAAGGCGACGAUCCCUAGCUGGUCUGAGAGGAUGACCAGCCACACUGGAACUGAGACACGGUCCAGACUCCUACGGGAGGCAGCAGUGGGGAAUAUUGCACAAUGGGCGCAAGCCUGAUGCAGCCAUGCCGCGUGUAUGAAGAAGGCCUUCGGGUUGUAAAGUACUUUCAGCGGGGAGGAAGGGAGUAAAGUUAAUACCUUUGCUCAUUGACGUUACCCGCAGAAGAAGCACCGGCUAACUCCGUGCCAGCAGCCGCGGUAAUACGGAGGGUGCAAGCGUUAAUCGGAAUUACUGGGCGUAAAGCGCACGCAGGCGGUUUGUUAAGUCAGAUGUGAAAUCCCGGGCUCAACCUGGGAACUGCAUCUGAUACUGGCAAGCUUGAGUCUCGUAGAGGGGGUAGAAUUCCGGUGUAGCGGUGAAAUGCGUAGAGAUCUGGAGGAAUACCGGUGGCGAAGGCGGCCCCUGGACGAAGACUGACGCUCAGGUGCGAAAGCGUGGGGAGCAAACAGGAUUAGAUACCCUGGUAGUCCACGCCGUAAACGAUGUCGACUUGGAGGUUGUGCCCUUGAGGCGUGGCUUCCGGAGCUAACGCGUUAAGUCGACCGCCUGGGAGUACGGCCGCAAGGUUAAAACUCAAAUGAAUUGACGGGGGCCCGCACAAGCGGUGGAGCAUGUGGUUUAAUUCGAUGCAACGCGAAGAACCUUACCUGGUCUUGACAUCCACGGAAGUUUUCAGAGAUGAGAAUGUGCCUUCGGGAACCGUGAGACAGGUGCUGCAUGGCUGUCGUCAGCUCGUGUUGUGAAAUGUUGGGUUAAGUCCCGCAACGAGCGCAACCCUUAUCCUUUGUUGCCAGCGGUCCGGCCGGGAACUCAAAGGAGACUGCCAGUGAUAAACUGGAGGAAGGUGGGGAUGACGUCAAGUCAUCAUGGCCCUUACGACCAGGGCUACACACGUGCUACAAUGGCGCAUACAAAGAGAAGCGACCUCGCGAGAGCAAGCGGACCUCAUAAAGUGCGUCGUAGUCCGGAUUGGAGUCUGCAACUCGACUCCAUGAAGUCGGAAUCGCUAGUAAUCGUGGAUCAGAAUGCCACGGUGAAUACGUUCCGGGCCUUGUACACACCGCCCGUCACACCAUGGGAGUGGGUUGCAAAAGAAGUAGGUAGCUUAACCUUCGGGAGGGCGCUUACCACUUUGUGAUUCAUGACUGGGGUGAAGUCGUAACAAGGUAACCGUAGGGGAACCUGCGGUUGGAUCACCUCCUUA
rnacentral:rRNA from 1 species